AUGGCUCACAUCUGCCAAUGUCUGAGUCGACUGUUAACCUCCCGGCGAGACUCUCCGGUGACCAUUUCCGGCAACCACCGCAAAACCGGUCAACAGUUUGUGGAGGAAGUUCUGUCACUCGCACACGGUCUUCUCCAGCUUGGAAUCUCACCCGGUGACGUUGUCGCCAUCUCUGCUUACAACAGUGAUUCGUAUUUGGAAUGGUUAUUAGCCAUUGCAUUUGUUGGAGGAAUUGUUGCUCCUUUGAACUAUCGCUGGUGUUGA
rnacentral:lncRNA from 1 species